GAUGGGUCCUCUGGAGGCUGGGCCGCCAAGAGGCGGCGGCUGCACCAUCUGAUGCUAGAGAACGAGAACCGCAGUGCGUGCCCGACACAAAGGGAAGGACAGGGGACACUGGAACAGGGGAGACGACAUGGAAGAAAUCUGGGGGAGCCAAAAGCCGCCAUGCCGAGAAGGGGGUCGGAGGAGGCGCGGGAGAGAAAAGCCCAGGGCUGUACACUCGCAUCCCUCUGCUGCCGGCCCUUCGGGUACAUUCAAAUACUGGGCAUGAGUCCCGCAGACAAGGCUUUGAAAGGAUAUUGUUCUCCCAUAAAUAGAAGUGAAGGUGCUGGAAGAGGCACGAGCAGGAAAAUUAUGGCUGGGCUGUGGACAUCUAUGGAGAAGACAGACUUGUGUGUCACUGUUGAGCAAAGGAGAGCCCUGCACACCUGCCCAGGGAGAAAGCACCCUGCCUUGGGCUACUUCUGGCUGCAGAGCCAGCCUGGCACAUCCUGCAGUUCCUCCCGUCCAGACUCAGUAGCAAU
rnacentral:lncRNA from 1 species